rnacentral:rRNA from 1 species
ACGAACGCUGGCGGCGUGCUUAACACAUGCAAGUCGAACGGAAAGGCCCUGCUUUUGUGGGGUGCUCGAGUGGCGAACGGGUGAGUAACACGUGAGUAACCUGCCCUUGACUUUGGGAUAACUUCAGGAAACUGGGGCUAAUACCGGAUAGGAGCUCCUGCUGCAUGGUGGGGGUUGGAAAGUUUCGGCGGUUGGGGAUGUACUCGCGGCUUAUCAGCUUGUUGGUGGGGUAGUGGCUUACCAAGGCUUUGACGGGUAGCCGGCCUGAGAGGGUGACCGGCCACAUUGGGACUGAGAUACGGCCCAGACUCCUACGGGAGGCAGCAGUGGGGAAUAUUGCACAAUGGGCGGAAGCCUGAUGCAGCAACGCCGCGUGCGGGAUGACGGCCUUCGGGUUGUAAACCGCUUUCGCCUGUGACGAAGCGUGAGUGACGGUAAUGGGUAAAGAAGCACCGGCUAACUACGUG